rnacentral:rRNA from 1 species
CGGGGGGAGCAAGCGUUGUUCGGAUUUACUGGGCGUAAAGGGCGCGUAGGCGGCCACCGCAAGUCGACUGUGAAAUCUCCGGGCUUAACCCGGAAAGGUCAGCCGAUACUGCGGGGCUAGAGUGCAGAAGGGGCAACUGGAAUUCUCGGUGUAGCGGUGAAAUGCGUAGAUAUCGAGAGGAACACCUGCGGCGAAGGCGGGUUGCUGGGCUGACACUGACGCUGAGGCGCGAAAGCUAGGGGAGCGAACGGGAUUAGAUACCCCGGUAGUCCUAGCCUUAAACGAUGAAUGCUUGGUGUGGCGGGUAUCGAUCCCUGCCGUGCCGAAGCUAACGCAUUAAGCAUUCCGCCUGGGGAGUACGGUCGCAAGGCUG